rnacentral:rRNA from 1 species
ACAUGCAAGUCGAACGAAGUAGCAAUACUUAGUGGCAGACGGGUGAGUAACAUGUAGGUAUCUACCCUUUGGCCUGGAAUAACACGAGGAAACUUGUGCUAAUACCGGAUAAGUCUUUACGGAGAAAGCUUUAUGCACCAUUGGAUGAGCCUGCACUUGAUUAGUUUGUUGGUGGGGUAAUGGCCUACCAAGACUUUGAUCAAUAGCUGAUUUGAGAGGAUGAUCAGCCACAUUGGGACUGAGACACGGCCCAAACUCCUACGGGAGGCAGCAGUGGGGAAUCUUGCACAAUGGAGGAAACUCUGAUGCAGCGAUGCCGCGUGAGUGAAGAAGGCCUUUGGGUUGUAAAGCUCUUUCGUCGGGGAAGAAAAUGACUGUACCCGAAUAAGAAGGUCCG